GAUGAACGCUAGCGGCAGGCCUAACACAUGCAAGUCGAGGGGCAGCACGUCUUCGGAUGGUGGCGACCGGCGCACGGGUGCGUAACGCGUAUGCAACCUACCUCUUACAGUGGGAUAGCCCAGAGAAAUUUGGAUUAAUACCGCAUAGUAUGCGACAUCAGCAUUGAUGACGUAUUAAACAUUCAUGGGUAAGAGAUGGGCAUGCGUUCUAUUAGUUAGUUGGAGUGGUAACGGCACCCCAAGACAGCGAUAGAUAGGGGCCCUGAGAGGGGAUCCCCACACUGGUACUGAGACACGGACCAGACUCCUACGGGAGGCAGCAGUGAGGAAUAUUGGACAAUGGGCGGGAGCCUGAUCCAGCCAUGCCGCGUGCAGGAAGACUGCCCUAU
rnacentral:rRNA from 1 species